CCAGGCCUGAAGGGAGAAUAGAACCAUCACAUUAUGUCAAUGGGCUCAGCUAGUCAAGUGGAAGUCGGUCUCACCAGCAGACGCUACUGGGAGCAGGCACUUCCUCUCCAGCUGGCUGUUGGCCUCUUGAAGCCAUGUGAUGUGCCUGCUCCCCCUUGGCCUUCCACCAUGAGUAAGCUUCCCAAGGCCUCCCUAGAAGCCAAGAAGAUACCAGCACCAUGCUUCCUGUAAAGCCUGCUGGCCUGUGGGCCAAUUAAGCCUCUUUUCUUUAGAAAUUACCCAGACUCAGAGACGGGGUCUCACUUCAUUGCCCAGGCUGAUCAUGAACUCCUGGCCUCAAUCAGUGCUCCCGCCUUGGCCUCCCAAAGCACUAGGAUUACAUGUGUGAGCCACUGCACCCGGCCUCCUUUUUCUACAUAAAAUAUCUUUGUAUGGAUAACCAUUUCACGCAGUAUUCCAUCCAAAAAAGAGAGAAUAAUGUUUUUAUUGUCUCUUUAUUUGGACCCUAUGGCAGAUAUGGCUGCUAAAUUUGACGUUCUCUCUGUAAUGCGGCGUAAGAAGAAAACUGGCUCCCAACAGAAGCAGAAAAGAGAAGCGAAAAGCAAUAAUACAGACUGUCACCUCUAGGGUUUAUGCUGUCACUAGGAUACAUCUUUAGCAUUCUACUCUGCUUCAGAAAUAAAGCACAAGAAGAUAAAGUA